GACGAACGCUGGCGGCGUGCUUAACACAUGCAAGUCGAGCGGUAAGGCCCUUUCGGGGGUACACGAGCGGCGAACGGGUGAGUAACACGUGGGUGACCUGCCCUUAGCUCUGGGAUAAGCCUGGGAAACUGGGUCUAAUACCGGAUAUGACUCCAUGACGCAUGUUGUGGGGUGGAAAGCCUUGUGCGGCUAGGGGAUGGGCCCGCGGCCUAUCAGCUUGUUGGUGGGGUGAUGGCCUACCAAGGCGACGACGGGUAGCCGGCCUGAGAGGGCGACCGGCCACACUGGGACUGAGACACGGCCCAGACUCUACGGGAGGCAGCAGUGGGGAAUCUUGCGCAAUGGGCGAAAGCCUGACGCAGCGACGCCGCGUGGGGAUGACGGCCUCGG
rnacentral:rRNA from 1 species